CUGUGCUAUAUGGGGAGUUAGCGGUGCCUUGUAACCUGCAAUCCGCUUUAGCAGGAUAGAAGCCGUCUCGAGGGCUGUUUUCGGUUGUUAUGCCUAAGGAGGAACGUGUUGAUUUGUCGGUCCCGCGCAACGGGAGCUUACGAACCGUGUCAGGUCCGGAAGGAAGCAGCAAUAAGUAAUGUCUUUCGUGUGUUGCGGGAGUGCCGGCAAUGAGCGUUGCUUGUAGACACAGAUCAUUGAAAGAGUUCGAAGGACGGUGCACAG
rnacentral:SRP_RNA from 1 species